AUUCCGGCUCCAAUAGCGUAUAUUAAAGUUGUUGCGGUAAAAAAGCUCGUAGUUGGAUUUCUACCGAAGAUAGCCGGUCGGGUCUUCGACCUUGUAUCUGGUUUUGUCUUUGGUAUCCUCAUGGGGAACGUUGCUGCGCUUCACUGCGUGGUGCGGUAUCCAUGACUUUUACUUUGAGGAAAUUAGAGUGUUCACGGCAGGCAAACGCCCUGAAUAUAUUAGCAUGGAAUAAUAACAUAGGAUCUUCGUCCUAUUUUGUUGGUUUCUAGGGCUAAGAUAAUAAUUAAUAGGGAUAAUUGGGGGCAUCUGUAUCAACGCGUCAGAGGUGGAAUUCUUGGAUUGCGUUGCGACAAACUACUGCGAAAGCAUUUGCCAAGGAUGUUUUCAUUA
rnacentral:rRNA from 1 species